rnacentral:rRNA from 1 species
GCCUAACACAUGCAAGUCGAGCGAACCCUUCGGGGUUAGCGGCGGACGGGUUAGUAACGCGUGGGAAUAUACCCUUUGGUACGGAAUAGCCUCGGGAAACUGAGAGUAAUACCGUAUGUGCCCUUCGGGGGAAAGAUUUAUCGCCAAAGGAUUAGCCCGCGUUGGAUUAGGUAGUUGGUGGGGUAAUGGCCUACCAAGCCUACGAUCCAUAGCUGGUUUGAGAGGAUGAUCAGCAACACUGGGACUGAGACACGGCCCAGACUCCUACGGGAGGCAGCAGUGGGGAAUCUUAGACAAUGGGGGAAACCCUGAUCUAGCCAUGCCGCGUGGACGAUGAAGGCCUUAGGGUUGUAAAGUCCUUUCAGAUGGGAAGAUAAUGACGGUAC